rnacentral:tmRNA from 1 species
GCCCUUUUUUCGCCGCUGUGAUGCGCCUAUAUUCAAUCCGCCGGCGCAAGCCGGCUAUGGCGAUAAACGCACGUCGCAAUAAACCCUUCGGACCCGGGGGCAGUACCCGGCGCCUCCACCCAAGCCCGCCCGCCCAAAACGUGUUCGGGCUUCGGCGGGGGCGAACCAGGAUCGACGAGGGCGUAAAGGACGGGCUUUUGCUCGGUAUGGUUCCGCCGUUAUCGGGCCGAUACAUAGUUGCAAACGACAACUAUGCGCCGGUUGCUCAGGCCGCGUAAGCGGUUUGAAGACCGACAUUAAGCCCUGAAGGUUUCGCAACCAUCAGGCGGGGUCCGGGGGCACCUGGCAACAGAAGCCCCCACU